rnacentral:tRNA from 1 species
GGGGCUGUAGCUCAGUUGGAAGAGCAUCUGUCUGUCGAACAGAAGGUCGCGGGAUCGAGACCCGUCAGCCUCG